rnacentral:rRNA from 1 species
AGAUUGAACGCUGGCGGCAUGCCUAACACAUGCAAGUCGAACGGGAGUAGCAAUACUCUAGUGGCGGACGGGUGAGGAAUACGUAGGAAUUUGCCCUUAAGUGGGGGAUAACCCGGGGAAACCCGGAUUAAUACCGCAUGACCUCGAAAGAGCAAAGUGGGGGAUCGCAAGACCUCACGCUUUUGGAGAAGCCUACGUCGGAUUAGCUAGUUGGUGAGGUAAUGGCUCACCAAGGCGACGAUCCGUAACUGGUCUGAGAGGAUGAUCAGUCACACCGGAACUGAGACACGGUCCGGACUCCGUACGGGAGGCAGCAGUGGGGAAUAGUUGGACAA